rnacentral:rRNA from 1 species
CCUACGGGUGGCAGCAGUCGAGAAUCAUUCACAAUGGGGGAAACCCUGAUGGUGCGACGCCGCGUGGGGGAAUGAAGGUCUUCGGAUUGUAAACCCCUUUCAUGUGGGAGCAAAUUAAAAAGAUAGUACCACAAGAGGAAGAGACUGCUAACUCUGUGCCAGCAGCCGCGGUAAUACAGAGGUCUCAAGCGUUGUUCGGAAUCACUGGGCGGAAAGCGUGCGCAGGCUGUUUCGUAAGUCGUGUGUGAAAGGCGCGGGCUCAACCCGCGGACGGCAUAUGAUACUGCGAGACUAGAGUAAUGGAGGGGGAACCGGAAUUCUCGGUGUAGGAGUGAAAUGCGUAGAUAUCGAGAGGAACACUCGUGGCGAAGGCGGGUUCCUGGACAUUAACUGACGCUGAGGCACGAAGGCCAGGGGAGCGAAAGGGAUUAGAUACCCGUGUAGUC